AUUGAACGCUGGCGGCAUGCCUCACACAUGCAAGUCGAACGGCAGCACGGACUUCGGUCUGGUGGCGAGUGGCGAACGGGUGAGUAAUAUAUCGAAACAUACCUUGUAGUGGGGGAUAACUAUCCGAAAGGAUAGCUAAUACCGCAUACGCUCUAAGGAGGAAAGCGGGGGAUCGUAAGACCUCGUGCUAUAAGAGUGGCCGAUAUCUGAUUAGCCAGUUGGUGAGGUAAAGGCUCACCAAGGCGACGAUCAGUAGCUGGUCUGAGAGGACGACCGGCCACACUGGAACUGGGACACGGUCCAGACUCCUACGGGAGGCAGCAGUGGGGAAUUUUGGACAAUGGGGGCAACCCUGAUCCAGCAAUGCCGCGUGAGUGAAGAAGGCCUUCGGGUUGUAAAGCGCUUUUGUCAGGGAAGAAACGGUUGUGGCUAAUAUCCAUGGCUAAUGACGGUACCUGAAGAAUAAGCACCGGCUAACUACGUGCCAGCCGCCGCUGUAAGAC
rnacentral:rRNA from 1 species